AUGAAGAACGUAGCGAAAUGCGAUACGUAAUGUGAAUUGCAGAAUUCAGUGAAUCAUCGAGUCUUUGAACGCACAUUGCGCCCCCUGGUAUUCCGGGGGGCAUGCCUGUCCGAGCGUCAUUGCUGCCCUCAAGCACGGCUUGUGUGUUGGGCCUCCGUCCUCCUCCCGGGGGACGGGCCCGAAAGGCAGCGGCGGCACCGCGUCCGGUCCUCGAGCGUAUGGGGCUUCGUCACCCGCUCUUGUAGGCCCGGCCGGCGCUUGCCGACACAUCAAUCUUUUUUCCAGGUUGACCUCGGAUCAGGUAGGGAUACCCGCUGAACUUAAGCAUAACAAUAAGCGGAGGA
rnacentral:misc_RNA from 1 species